rnacentral:rRNA from 1 species
ACUCAAAGGAAUUGACGGGGACCCGCACAAGCGGUGGAUUAUGUGGAUUAAUUCGAUGCAACGCGAAAAACCUUACCUACCCUUGACAUGUACGGAAUCCUGCUGAGAGGUAGGAGUGCCCGAAAGGGAACCGUAACACAGGUGCUGCAUGGCUGUCGUCAGCUCGUGUCGUGAGAUGUUGGGUUAAGUCCCGCAACGAGCGCAACCCUUGUCAUUAAUUGCCAUCAUUUAGUUGGGCACUUUAAUGAGACUGCCGGUGACAAACCGGAGGAAGGUGGGGAUGACGUCAAGUCCUCAUGGCCUUUAUGGGUAGGGCUUCACACGUAAUACAAUGGCCGGUACAGAGGGUCGCAAAGCCGCAAGGUGGAGCCAAUCCCAGAAAGCCGGUCGUAGUCCGGAUUGAAGUCUGCAACUCGACUUCAUGAAGUCGGAAUCGCUAGUAAUCGCGGAUCAGCAUGUCGCGGUGAAUACGUUCCCGGGUCUUGUACACACCGCCCGU